rnacentral:lncRNA from 1 species
GGGAAACACUGCAGCAGAUGGCCUGCCUUUCUGAGCCACAGCGACACAUCUGCAACGCUGCUGGAAUGCCUCACUGCACAUUCACAACGAAUAAGGUUAUCAUGUUGACUAAAACAGUCAGGGAUGGCCCUCCUUCCUCAAGCAACAGCCCUCAUUUCUGAAGCCGCCAGUCAUGACUACACCUGCCUUCUCAAGAAAAGCAAAAAGGGUGAAUUCUACUAGCAGGCAAGUGUCCGAUUAUUGUGAAGGACAAUGAAAGACAUAAGAUGACUCUGA